CAUUCAAGCAGAUUCAAGAGUCAAAAAAUUUAAUAGCAUCCUAUCUGCUGCAAUUAUAAGACUGCUGAAUAAAACAACAGUACAAAAACUCAUCAACAGGUUCUUCAGGCCUCUGUUACAGGGAAAUCAAAAACCACAUCUUUCCCUGUAAGCUUCCUGUAAACUCCAGCAUACGACUCCAGCUUAUACUCGGUGUUGUUGCGCUCCUUAGGAUCCAAGAA
rnacentral:lncRNA from 1 species